AACGAACGCUGGCGGCAUGCCUAACACAUGCAAGUCGAACGAGACCUUCGGGUCUAGUGGCGCACGGGUGCGUAACGCGUGGGAACCUGCCCUUAGGUUCGGAAUAACUCCCCGAAAGGGGUGCUAAUACCGGAUAAUGUCUUCGGACCAAAGAUCUAUCGCCUUUGGAUGGGCCCGCGUUGGAUUAGCCUGUUGGUAGGGUAAAAGCCUACCAAGGCGACGAUCCAUAGCUGGUCUGAGAGGAUGAUCAGCCACACUGGGACUGAGACACGGCCCAGACUAUUACGGGAGGCAGCAGAGGGGAAUAUUGGAAAAUGGGCGGAAGCAUGAUCCAGCAAUGCCGCGUGAGUGAUGAAGGCCUUAGGGUUGUAAAGCUCUUUUACCCGGGAUGAUAAUGACAGUACCGGGAGAAUAAGCUCCGGCUAACUCCGUG
rnacentral:rRNA from 1 species